UUUAAAAAUAGUGAACUGCGCAUUUCAAAAUGUCUUCAUUGUUUUACAGAGAUGGUUCUGAAUUGUUUGGGGUAGGAAAAAAAAAAAAUUACUAUGUAAAAUAAUGAAACACGUUACGGGUCGUAUUAAACGCUUCCUCGUCCCCUCUCCACAGUUUUCAGGAAGCUCUACUGACAACGCAGUGGUUUUCAAGGACGUUCUAAUAAUUGUGAUAAUUUUUAACAAGCAAUUCCGUAUAAUCAGUGAGGAAAACACUUAUUGGAAUGCGAGUGUUCACCUCUGUGCCAUUUGAAAACUGUGUGUGUGAGAGAAGGAAGGGUUUGGUACAAGCCGAAUUUCUUGAUUAGAGGAACAAAUGCAUGGCACGCCUUAACGUUCCUCUCUUGAGACAAAAAAAAAAAAAAAGUGAGUAAAUAAAUAAAUAAAUAAGAUAAAUAAAUAAAAAUAAAUAAAUAAAUAAAGGGGAAAUGUAGAGUUAGGGUGAGAGGUCUUGAGUUCCAGACCUCCAGCGUGAUCGUAAUUGGGUGAAUGUACUUGUGAGAGACGGAGAUAAAUAGAUAAAUAAAUAAAAUAAAAAUAAAAAUCGCGAUUGUUGUAGAAAAAGAAGCAAGAAGGGAAGAGUUUUGGUUUGUGUGAGCAGGAAGGGUUAGCUGUGGUGAGUGUGAAGGCAGCUGUAACAAACAUGAGGCAUUUGUCAACAGAAUCUGAAUGGCUGGAUCAGCAGAGGAGCCGACACCGCACAGCUCGGCGCUCUUCCCCUGUGCCUGAGCAACACUGCGCUGACACGUCUGUCCGAUGCAGGGAGGAGACAGCAAGCGAGAGGCGAGGCUGGGCGGAGUGUGGACAUGUCAAGCAGUCAGUGUUCUUAACUAGAGUAAAUACAAUUGAGAAAAGUAAUAUACGUGGGGAAAAGGUUUUCAGUUCAGGUUUCCCAUGAGAUGAAAGUAAAAGGCAUGUAGAAAGGUUUGGGUAAGCAAUUACAGAUUCAAUUAUGGUAGAAUGUUUGUGGAAAAGGGAAAUUGCUACAUGUGAAGUGUCUUGUUGGGGCAAUGGAAGUAAGUGAAAGGAAGGAGAGGCUUUGCUGAGUCUAGCCAUGUCCGAGUAUUACUGUACGUAAUUAGGAUAGAGUUGUGAGAAGAAUUUUUUUUUUAUUUUUUAUUUCUACUCAUAUUUCAAUAGUUCUAGAUAUAAUACCUUCACAUAUAGCAUGUGACAUGGAGGGUGUAUUUCACCUGUUAAUUUUUAGAGUGAUUUUUAUAUUGUGUACCCUUUACUUUCCGUUUUCUUUCACGGUUAAGGCUGCCUAUCGUUCUCUCUUAUGAUAGACUAUGGUAUCUCGCCUGGGGUCGAUUCACCUCGCAAACUUUGCACAUUUUCAUUCUUAUCUCUGUUAUAUUUGUGUACUUUAAUUCCUAAACUGGGUGUAUACCUUGAAUGGACACUGCUACUGUGUCAUGCGUAUAAUCACGUUGAAGAAAGUAGCCUAUCAUGUUUACGGAUUCAGGUUUUUUUUUUCCUCUCAAAGUCCACCAGAUUUAUACAUUUAAUAUGUGAAAGGAGUGGUUGUAACCCCCUUAGAGGGCUGGGGAUCCACCUACCAUAGUUCCACAACGCAGGGUUACCAAGCAGCCCUUCGCAUGAGGCCCCAGAAUGCCAGAAACAGCCCUUGUUAUGCGAGGAAAAAAUAUUGAGUGACUUGUGAUGUCAGAGUAAAAAAUGAAUAAUGGAGAGGAAAGGAAAUAUUUUGAUCAGCACGUAACAAAUGAAAUAUCUUAACACAGUACAGUUGAUAAUGAAACACUGGGUCACUGCAUGCGAAGCACCACAGAGAGCACCGUUUCUCACAUCUUGAUCAAGCACCAAAUAAACACAUGAAACACGAGAUGUGAAGACGAUAGUAAUUGCUAGGACGAUUCUAAGUAUUACUCAUGACCAUGGCGAGGUACAAAGCAACCAGCCACCCGCCUGCCUUCAUGGCUCCACUAUCUGAGAGUGCAACACCUCGGCACACGACCCUCCUGCUGUCUCCCACUGUCUGCCUGCUGUGUGCCUGCGCUUCGCCUUACCUUCGGUGCGCUACACAUAUCUACGUACACAUAUCUACGUCCAUAAGGUCUAUAUCUCGCUUCAGAAACUCAGGAAACUCACUCCUACAAAAGCGUGUCCGUCAGCUCCCCUGCGCCACUAACCACCGAUGCACUGAGGGAAGCAGCGCCACUCACGCAGUCAUCACUCUUAACCUUGGCACCAGACUGAGUGGUGUGUUGGGCCGACACUCAAGGGGAUGGCCUCGGCUCCGCGUGUGCUGUCUUUAACCUCAACAGCUCAAUGAGGGCUGUCUUGGGAGGCCAGACUGCUUGCGCCAUCAUUGGUCUUGUGGAGGGCGGUGACGCGGCUGGUGUCAGUACUGCAAGAAAUGCCAUUUAAAACCCCUAUAACUUCCACUACAACCUCCUGUCAGUGAUGCAGAUAUAUUGUUAAUUUGUCACUGGAACCACAACAGCACCAUUAAAAACCCCUAUAACUUCCACUACAACAUACUGAAAUAGUGUUUCUCCUGUCAGUAAUGCAGAAAUCUGUCACUAGAACCUUAAAAAAACAUUCCUACCCCCUCUCUCUCUCUCUCUCUCUCUCUCUCUCUCUCUCUCUCUCUCUCUCUCUCUCUCUCUCUCUCUCGCACACAUCCCCCUCUUCGUCUUUUAAUGUCCCUAAGUGUUUUUAUCUUUAAUUCUCUUCAUUUCUCUCUUUUUCUCAUCUAUUUUUAUCACCUACCCACUCGCCUCUCAC